rnacentral:lncRNA from 1 species
AAAAAAUAUCGUUUCUAGAAUUAUGUAAUAUUCAUCUAGAUUGCACGUAAAAUUUUAAUCUAUAACGCUGCGAAAGAAGGAUAUGGAUGGUACAUUGUGUGCAUGGAGUUGACGGAAUAAAGAUCAACGAAGGGUUUAAAUAUAAAGAAAUAGAACUAUGGACAACACUUACAAAGAAAGGAGAAUAAUGAUCAAAACUUAUAAAGAAUAGAAGAAAAAAAAAUAACACAAAUUAACGGUCAUAAAUUAAAGACUGUAAAAAUGAAAGUCUCCCUCUCAGACUCCCU